CCCUUUUGAAAUUCCAACCCAAUGCUGUAAUGAUCCGUCUGAUAAGGGUCGGACUUCCCAGCCUCCCUGAACGCAACCUAAUUUUCCCACUCUGAUUGGAAAUACGCUUCACCUGUUUGAUGCCCUUUAAAUACCUGCCUGUGACAGCGUUUCUUCGCCAGAUCGUCUUGGUUCUACCCUGCACGUUUCCAGCCGUUGUUCUUACCUGUCUGCCUGCC